GACGAACGCUGGCGGCGUGCUUAACACAUGCAAGUCGAACGGUAAGGCCCUUCGGGGUACACGAGUGGCGAACGGGUGGGUAGCACGUGAGUAACCUGCCCUUGACUCUGGGAUAACUGCGGGAAACUGUAGCUAAUACCGGAUACGACCCUCGGAGGCAUCUCCUGGGGGUGGAAAGAAUUUCGGUCAAGGAUGGACUCGCGGCCUAUCAGCUAGUUGGUGAGGUAAAGGCUCACCAAGGCGACGACGGGUAGCCGGCCUGAGAGGGUGACCGGCCACACGGGGACUGAGACACGGCCCAGACUCCUACGGGAGGCAGCAGUGGGGAAUAUUGCACAAUGGGCGCAAGCCUGAUGCAGCAACGCCGCGUGAGGGAUGACGGCCUUCGGGUUGUAAACCUCUUUUAGCAGGGAAGAAGCGAAAGUGACGGUACCUGCAGAAAAAGCACCGGCUAACUACGUGCCAGCAGCCGCCGUAA
rnacentral:rRNA from 1 species